CCUGUUCUGUCCAGUGGUUAGGACUCCACACUUCCACUGUGGGGGUAAGGAUUUGAUCCCUGGUCAGGG
rnacentral:tRNA from 1 species